rnacentral:rRNA from 1 species
GACGAACGCUGGCGGCGUGCUUAACGCAUGCAAGUCGAACGGAAAGGCCCUGCUUUUGUGGGGUGCUCGAGUGGCGAACGGGUGAGUAACACGUGAGUAACCUGCCCUUGACUUUGGGAUAACUUCAGGAAACUGGGGCUAAUACCGGAUAGGAGCUCCUGCUGCAUGGUGGGGGUUGGAAAGUUUCGGCGGUUGGGGAUGGACUCGCGGCUUAUCAGCUUGUUGGUGGGGUAGUGGCUUACCAAGGCUUUGACGGGUAGCCGGCCUGAGAGGGUGACCGGCCACAUUGGGACUGGGAUACGGCCCAGACUCCUACGGGAGGCAGCAGUGGGGAAUAUUGCACAAUGGGCGGAAGCCUGAUGCAGCAACGCCGCGUGCGGGAUGACGGCCUUCGGGUGGUAAACCGCUUUCGCCUGUGACGAAGCGUGAGUGACGGUAAUGGGUAAAGAAGCACCGGCUAACUACGU